GGACGACUUCAUACGAAAAUCUAUGACAAACGGGACGAUUUCAACUUCCCAAUUAUCAAUUUCCCAUUUCUCAGCAGUAACAUACCAUCUGCCCCUUCGUAUGGUGUUUACAUAUCACAAUUGAUACGUUAUUCACGUGCUUGUUCACACUAUACGGACUUCAUAUACAGGAGUGUGCUACUUACGCAGAAACUUCUCCAACAAAUUUAUGAGGAGGACAGAUUAAAAUUGACACUCCGUAAAUUUUAUGGACACCAUCACGAAUUGGUGGAUCCAUACGAUAUGUGUUUAACCAAACUAGC
rnacentral:lncRNA from 1 species